GUAGGGGGCGAGCGUUGUCCGGAUUUAUUGGGCGUAAAGAGCUCGUAGGCGGCUCAACAAGUCGGCCGUGAAAACCUGAGGCUCAACCUCAGGACGCCGGUCGAAACUGUUGUGGCUAGGGUCCGGUAGAGGAGGGUGGAAUUCCCGGUGUAGCGGUGAAAUGCGCAGAUAUCGGGAGGAACACCAGUAGCGAAGGCGGCUCUCUGGGCCGGCACCGACGCUGAGGAGCGAAAGCUAGGGGAGCAAACAGGAUUAGAUACCCUGGUAGUCCUAGCCGUAAACGUUGGGUACUAGGUGUGGCGGAUUCAUUGACAUCUGCCGUGCCGAAGCUAACGCAUUAAGUACCCCGCCUGGGGGAGUACGGUCGCAAGGCUA
rnacentral:rRNA from 1 species